rnacentral:rRNA from 1 species
UGGGGAAUAUUGGACAAUGGGGGCAACCCUGAUCCAGCGAUGCCGCGUGUGUGGAGAAGGCCUGCGGGUUGUAAAGCACUUUCAGUAGAGAAGAAAAGCCUACGGUUAAUACCCGUGGGUCUUGACGUUACCU